UGGGUUUAUCUGAGAGAAUUGUAGUUGUAAGGAGGAAGGAUGCGAGUCAUGUUCAAUUUACUCAUACAAAUAGACAAAAGGAUUUUGGGAUUAUUGGUUUGCAUAAAAGGCGAAGUUGGGUUUGAGAGUUAUUUAUGCUAGUACAUGUAGGUUAGAGAGGUGAAGCUCAUGGGCAGAAGUUAUGUUAGUUUUGUUUUUAGGGCUAUCAUCUUCUAGCUAGGGAUUUCAAUUGCAUUUUGAAUGUGGAUGAUAAGAAAGAAGCUAAAUCUUUUCGUGUGAAUUGGGAUAUUAGAAAAUUUUGAG
rnacentral:lncRNA from 1 species